rnacentral:rRNA from 1 species
CGACUAUACAUGCAAGUCGAGCGAACAGAUAAGGAGCUUGCUCCUUUGACAUUAGCGGCGGACGGGUGAGUAACACGUGGAUAACCUACCUAUAAGACUGGGAUAACUUCGGGAAACCGGAGCUAAUACCGGAUAACAUAUUGAACCGCAUGGUUCAAUAGUGAAAGGCGGCUUUGCUGUCACUUAUAGAUGGAUCCGCGCCGUAUUAGCUAGUUGGUAAGGUAACGGCUUACCAAGGCAACGAUACGUAGCCGACCUGAGAGGGUGAUCGGCCACACUGGAACUGAGACACGGUCCAGACUCCUACGGGAGGCAGCAGUAGGGAAUCUUCCGCAAUGGGCGAAAGCCUGACGGAGCAACGCCGCGUGAGUGAUGAAGGUCUUCGGAUCGUAAAACUCUGUUAUCAGGGAAGAACAAAUGUGUAAGUAACUGUGCACAUCUUGACGGUACCUGAUCAGAAAGCCACGGCUAACUACGUGCCAGAAGCCGCGGUAAUACGUAGGUGGCAAGCGUUAUCCGGAAUUAUUGGGCGUAAAGCGCGCGUAGGCGGUUUUUUAAGUCUGAUGUGAAAGCCCACGGCUCAACCGUGGAGGGUCAUUGGAAACUGGAAAACUUGAGUGCAGAAGAGGAAAGUGGAAUUCCAUGUGCAGCGGUGAAAUGCGCAGAGAUAUGGAGGAACACCAGUGGCGAAGGCGACUUUCUGGUCUGUAACUGACGCUGAUGUGCGAAAGCGUGGGGAUCAAACAGGAUUAGAUACCCUGGUAGUCCACGCCGUAAACGAUGAGUGCUAAGUGUUAGGGGGUUUCCGCCCCUUAGUGCUGCAGCUAACGCAUUAAGCACUCCGCCUGGGGAGUACGACCGCAAGGUUGAAACUCAAAGGAAUUGACGGGGACCCGCACAAGCGGUGGAGCAUGUGGUUUAAUUCGAAGCAACGCGAAGAACCUUACCAAAUCUUGACAUCCUUUGACCGCUCUAGAGAUAGAGUUUUCCCCUUCGGGGGACAAAGUGACAGGUGGUGCAUGGUUGUCGUCAGCUCGUGUCGUGAGAUGUUGGGUUAAGUCCCGCAACGAGCGCAACCCUUAAGCUUAGUUGCCAUCAUUAAGUUGGGCACUCUAAGUUGACUGCCGGUGACA